rnacentral:lncRNA from 1 species
UUUUUUUUUUUCUUGCAACUCACUCCAAGGACUUAAUUUAAAAUCUGUAGGACUGUGUAUAUGGGAUGUCGAGACAUAAAAACGACAACAACAAAAACGGAAUUUCUUGAAUGGGUACUGAGGAUAAAGUAGAAAAUAGAUUAGAAAUUUGUUAUAGCCUUAGUGGGAGGUAAUUUAAAAUUCUGUUAAUUUGCUCCAGGUUUCAGCAUAAAAGUUUCUUUUUGCUAGUCUGAUCCUAAAUCAAUGACCUAUUCUUUCAAGUGAAUGUUUGCUAUUUUCUUGAGUUCUGGUCCCAAUUUUGCUUUCAAAUUGAAAUUCUAAGCCCAAGGUCCUAGCCUCUGAAUUUCUAUCCCCAAGGCCAUAUUUUAUUCUAAAAAAGACUUUCCAGACAUGGAUUUGUGAAUUCUUGAUUGUCAAGGAUUACUCAUCACUGACCUUCAAUGAGAAACCACAUUACUCAUACAGCUUUGCUUAUUUUGAGAUAGCCUGUCCAUUUGACAAACAAAACCUGUUAGGUUAAAGCUAGAUCAGUUUCAGAUUUUCCUUAGAAUUUUGCUAAGAUUCUGAGCAUCAAACAUUCGUCAAGGUGUCUGCUGUAGAAGCUCCUGGGUUCUUCUAGGCUUGGUGAAGCAGGAAAUUAGAACUCUGCAGUGUUGGGUUGAGUACGCCAUGAUAGAUAGGUACAAAAAGGCCUAGUGGUUCAUUCUAAGCUUUAGACCGCUUCUCGUAUUGUGGAAAAAUCUUACAGAUUUGGAUCAGAAGAGGUUUUAAAGAAUUUCUUGAAUGUCCCUGAUCUUUCCAGAGACCUCUGGUCACAGGCAUUAAAAGGCAGGAUCCAAAAGUUAGGAUGUCUAAAGUCAUAAUUCUAGCAUUGUUUGAAGCAGAAUCUGAGAGUUCAACACUCAUUUCCUCAUCUUUUUCAUUCACUGGAAAUGCACACAGAUGCUGGGACAGCUGGUUUCAUUGGCAAUGAGUCUUUAUUGCUUGCAAGAGUGUACCCUGUAUGCCUGGGUCUGUGCCUUCUGAGAAUUCUGACCAUCUGCCCUUUCAGUAAAGCUUUCUACCCAACGUGCAUUAGAUUAUCUUGCUCAAGUUUAAUACACACUGAGACUGGGCCUCCAGACGUUCUGGAAAUUUAAUGCUCAGAUAUAUAAAUAACACUCAGAUAAAUUGAUGCUCCGUCUCUAUGUACUUUGGUCUUAUUAUGGAAAUGUAAUCCUCAUGGAUACAAUUUGCUCCUAGAGAGAGAUAAUAUGUUUCUAUUGUUCAGAAAACUUAUUCCAUCUAGUGAUGUUUUUCUAAAAUAUAUCCACACUAAUCAUAGGGAAAUUCUCUUAUAGGCAGUUUCAUUAUGGUUCAUUUCCUAUUUUAUUCGGUGGAAUCUGUUUUAUUUUCAGAGUGAAAAUUAGAUUGUUAACAGCCCCUGGGCCAUGGGAGCUCAACUGGUUGCCAUAUAGGUUAGACAAUAAAACAUGGCUGCGUAUCCAGGAUGACCUGUACACUAGGCAUUAUCUAGCUUUUAGAACAUGUAAGCCAAUUCAGUUUUGUGGGAUAGGGUUUAUAUUUUUGGUUUUUGUCUUUGUUGGUAGAUCUGCCACUCAAGGGUAUUAAUUCAAGCGUAGAACUCAAAUUAGGAAAUGAAUUCUGGGAAUAAAUUACCAGGUUAAUCACAUGUACUGAGAAGCACAGGCUGAUGCCAAGUCACCUUCUGGAGGCUGCAUAGUAUAAUGGCUAAAAAAUAUUCUAGAAUACAACUGUUUGGGUCUAUCUCCCAUGACUACUGAUUAUUCCAAUGUAAUUUUAGGCAAAUCACUGGACUCGUGUAUUUUCAUCUGUUUAAGUGUUGAUAUUAAUGUUUUUCUUAUGUUAUACCUAAGUCUGGCAGGGUGAUCAAAAAACCCAUUCCUGUGACACCUGGACCUCUGGUCACCAUGGCCUUCUCAGCUUGUGGCUAUUGCACUGGUUUUCACGACUGGGCAGAGAAGAACCAAGAUUUGUCCAGAUAAAUUAUUUAGUGCCGCAUGCAUUCUUUCUUGCUCAUGCUAUAUCAAAACAGAGAUAUAGCAUGUUCAUCACUGUACCUUGCCCAAAAGUUCUCAGGAAAUUAUCACUGAUUUGAUGAAUGAGUGCAUAAGUGUGCGGAGGUUAAAGCACUUUGGAGUAGCGAUCUCUAAAUUGGAGUAUGUACAUUCCAGGUUUUAUACAAAAUGAUUUAACGAAAUGUGGGAAGUUAAUAUAUUUAUAAUUCUAAUUAUUUUGAUUUAUAUAAAUAUGCAUAGACUCUAUGGUUUAUAAUUUACAUGACAUAUUAUUAAUCAGGAUAUAAAAAAUGCAUAACUGCAUAUAGAAAUGCAGAGUUUCUCAUAUUUUUUGUAGGUAGGGAUCUAUGACAAAAUAUUGGAGACCCUGGACCAGAGUAUUUCAGAAUGCUUGGUCAUACUUGGUAAUGCUCUUACCACAUGUUCUGUAGAAGUAAGGACAAAUAUACAGUUGAUUCUAUACACCACUAAUGCUUUUUUGAAUAAAAUAUAUUCUAUGAAAUAAAAAAAAUUAGGAUUCGUGUUGAGGCUCAGUGGGUUAGGAACUCAACAUAGUAUCUGUGAGGAUGUGAGUUUGAUUCCUGGCCUUGCCGCCAAGCAGCAUAGGCUACAAACUGGGUUCAGCUCUAGUGCUAACAGCCCGGGACCUUCCAUAUACUGCAGGUACAACCAUAAAAAGAAAAACAAACCAACAAAAAACAAUACCUUGCUGUGAAAUAAACUAUAAUUAAUAUACAUUCUGAGGAAAACCUUGUUUCCAUUUUUCUGAAAACCAAUCCAGUUUAUAUAUAUCAGUUUCCUAAUUUUAUUUAGAGCAGUUCUCAACGAUCACUGUAAAGCAACGUAUUUCAUAGUUUUUAUGUCUCUUCAAAUAUUUUCACAGUAGUUUGAUUAUUUAGGUAAAAUUCAAGAAUUUUUAUUUUACUUAUAUCUCAUAAAUGUAAUUUGUUACUUUUUAUUGUACCAGUCCUGUUGUUUCAGAUUCUCAUUAUUCAAUGUAUCUCUCUGUGUAAACCACAGUAUCCACUUCCAAAAAUAUGGGUUUUUCAGCAUUGUGGCAGAAGUUUCUAUGUUAUUUAUUUAUUAGAGCUGUGAUAAAUUCUACAGUCUUUUAAACAAAGCAGAUUGCAAGAAAAUAAAUGACUUGUACAAAGUCAUUUAUUUUGUCCUCUCUUCAUCUUUAGAUAUUCCUGUAUACCAGCCAUAGCUCUGGGGGACUAUUCUUGUUGUCUGCUGGUAGUUUGGUGUCAGGGCCAGAAUUAAACUCAAACUGGUAAAUAUGGACAUAGACAUAAUCAAAAUUACGGUUGAUUGGCAAUGCUACAAUGAUAAGCUUGGCAUCAUAAAACUAUUUGGAAUCAUUAAUGAUGCAUUCAAUGUUGCACUCAGUAUGUGGUAUUCAGAUUACCAAAAGUUGUUCUAUAAACAUGAAUACAUUUGAAAAAAUAUGUCUAAAAUUCAUGUUAAUGUACUUUUAUCUGCCUCAUUUCAAAACAGAUUUUAGAAUAAGGUCAGAGUAUAAAUUGUUCGUUUUUGCCUUUAAAGAGAAAAGAGAUGCAAAAUUGUAACAGGUAAAGCAGCAGUUGCUACAGAGAAAUAUAUGUUGUGGAGUAGAAAAACCUAAUAUCUAAACCUAGGAG